rnacentral:rRNA from 1 species
GAUGAACGCUGGCGGCGUGCCUAAUACAUGCAAGUCGAGCGAACAGACGAGGAGCUUGCUCCUCUGACGUUAGCGGCGGACGGGUGAGUAACACGUGGAUAACCUACCUAUAAGACUGGGAUAACUUCGGGAAACCGGAGCUAAUACCGGAUAAUAUAUUGAACCGCAUGGUUCAAUAGUGAAAGACGGUUUUGCUGUCACUUAUAGAUGGAUCCGCGCCGCAUUAGCUAGUUGGUAAGGUAACGGCUUACCAAGGCAACGAUGCGUAGCCGACCUGAGAGAGUGAUAGGCCACACUGGAACUGAGACACGGUCAAGACUACUACGGGAGGCAGCAGAAGGGAAUCUUACGCAAUGGGCGAAAGCCUGACGGAGCAACGGCGCGUGAGUGAUGAAGGUCUUCGGAUCGUAAAACUCUGUUAUUAGGGAAGAACAAAUGUGUAAGUAAAUAUGCACGUCUUGACGGUACCUAAUCAGAAAGCCACGGCUAACUACGUG